rnacentral:rRNA from 1 species
AUUGAACGCUGGCGGCAGGCCUAACACAUGCAAGUCGAGCGAGCGGGGGAGGGGGGAGUAAAGUAUGGGGGCUGCCGGUAAGAGGGGGAUAACCAGUGGGAAAGGUGGCUAAAACCGCAUAAUGUCGGGUUAAACAUAUGGGAUUAGCUAGUAGGUAAGGUAAUGGCUUACCUAGGCGACGAUCCCUAGCUGGUCUGAGAGGAUGAUCAGCCACACUGGGACUGAGACACGGCCCAGACUCCUACGGAGGCAGCAGUGGGGAAUAUUGCACAAUGGGCGCAAGCCUGAUGCAGCCAUGCCGCGUGUAUGAAGAAGGCCCUAGGGUUGUAAAGUACUUUCAGUCGGGAGGCGUUACCGACAGAAGAAGCACCGGCUAACUCCGUGCCAGCAGCCGCGGUAAUAC